rnacentral:rRNA from 1 species
GAUGAACGCUAGCGGCAGGCUUAACACAUGCAAGUCGAGGGGUAACAGGGGUAGCAAUACCUGCUGACGACCGGCAAACGGGUGCGGAACACGUACACAAUCUACCUUUAUCUGGGGCAUAGCCCGGAGAAAUCCGGAUUAAUUCCCCAUAAAAUAACAGAGUGGCAUCACUUAAUUAUUAAAACUCCGGUGGAUAGAGAUGAGUGUGCGUCCCAUUAGCUAGUUGGUAAGGUAAAGGCUUACCAAGGCGACGAUGGGUAGCUGGUGUGAGAGCACGACCAGCCACACGGGCACUGAGACACGGGCCCGACUCCUACGGGAGGCAGCAGUGAGGAAUAUUGGUCAAUGGACGCAAGUCUGAACCAGCCAUGCCGCGUGAAGGAUGAAGGCCUUCUGGGUUGUAAACUUCUUUUAUGAGGGAAGAAAACUAUGGUUUCUACUAUAGCCGACGGUACUUAGGAAUAAGCACCGGCUAACUCCGUGCC